rnacentral:lncRNA from 1 species
GGUUGGGGUGGAGUGGUUAGGGGUUAGGGGGUAGGGGGAGGACUCUCUCGUGGUACUCAAAAGCGGCCACGAGAUCCGGGAUUCGUUGAACGCAAGCGCGGUAUCGAUCGAUCGGAGUCUACCUUGAACUUCAGUCUCGCGAACGUUUAAAAGCUACAGCUCGUUGUCGUUCGGGAGGAAUCUGUUAUCUCGGUGAAGAGCAUCGAACCAAGAGAAAGAUAGGAAAAUAAAAAAAAAGAAAGAAAGAGAGAGAAAGAGAGAGAGAGAGAGAGAGGGAGAAAAAAAACUCUUUAUUUGAAUAAUUUCGAAUCGUCGAAAGACUCGACGUUCGAGAAAGAAAAAGCUUUUAACAGGAGUAUUCGUGCGGUUAUAAAUAUUUCUGACGCACGAACGAUAUUCCGGAAAAAAAAAAAACACAAAUAAGGUUUUAAAAAGGAUAUCUCAUUAGGGGAUAAAUAUACUGAACAACGAAUGGAUAAAAUGAAUUGUUCGAUCAAAGAUAAUAAUAACAAUAAUAAAAUACAAUUUAUUCUGAUAUAAGGAUGUGGUUUAUUUGUGGUACGGGUUUUAUUGAAAUUGCGUAAUUGCGAAUAAGGUAGAAGUAAUUUAAAUUAUAAAGGUAUGAAAUUUGUUUUAUACGAAUGUUGGUCAAGUUUAUUUCAUUUUUGAUAUAUAGAAUACGUUUUUGAAAGUACCGUUUUAUAAAAGGAUUCAUGAUAUUUAAAUGUUCGUAGAUUUAGAUACACAAUAAAAAAAGACCAAUAAUUAAAUCCAAAAUUUUUAUAACAUUUAUGAGUUUGUUUAAAGUUGUCAGAAACAAUCAUCGAUACUCAUCAAAUUUAAUUUAUAAAAAUAUUAUAUAAUAAGAAGACUGUUGCAAUUUUUGAACCGUAUUAUGUUAAAACUGUGUAUUUUAGAGUACCCCGUUGAGUUGAAUAUAUUAUCUGAAAACGGUUUUUAAAAUGACCUUGGAUUUAGUUUUACCAUAAAUAGUAGUAAUAAAGAAGUGAACAAUUUCUAAUAAAUUUCGGAAAAUUUUUCAAGAUCAAUUGCUGAUAAAAAAUCAGACCAAGUUUACAAAAAUCCAAUCUAAUAAGAUUUUAAUUUUUGCGUAGUGUUAUAUUUGAAACCGUGUUUAAAAAAAAAGAAUAAAAGAGUUGAGCGUAUUAAUUUCACAUGAUUUUGAAUGACCUUGGACCUCCGACAUACCAUAAAUGAAUGAUAGCAAUAACAAAAUGAAAAAUUUCUAAUGAUAUUUAGGAGUUUUAGAAAAGCUGUCAGAGAUUGGUUCGUUGAUAAGAAUUGGAGUUUGAUUUAUUAACAUCCUCUCUCGUGGCCAUACGCUUUUACGUAAGAAGUUUCGCCAUGUUCUCGCGGGGAGAGACUGUAAUCGGCAGACUUUCUCCUAUAAUCGAUUCCCCCACGGAGAGAAAGAAGGUAAAGCUUGUGUUAAUGUUUCUUCAUAAUUCCAUUCGUCCGUGAAAAGGACGUUUACGAGAAGUAGAAGUAGAAGAAAGUUCGUGCACGUACGGAAAAGUACGCUACGUGAUUUUCUACGUGAGAUCUUUUCAGGAAAAAAGAAAAUAAAUAUUUUUCAAGGAGGAAAGAGGUAAAAAAAGAACACACACACACAUACGCAGGGAAGAAAAGGGCUUGUUAAAUCUACAAAACUAACAACAAAUAAAUAUCACGGCAAGUUAAUACGUUCAAUAUGGAUGACUGUCAACCGGUCGUAAGAAAGACCAGACCCCACCCAAGCAAGCAAGCAAGCUAGCUAGCUAGCAAGUGAACAAGUAAGUAAGCAACGACGUAGAGACGACGUCAACAACAACGUUGACGAUAACACAACGACCAAAAGGAGGAGAAGUUGGAGAA